AGGAGGGAGGAAGAGGAUGUAAAAUUCUCUCUCCUCCUGAACCAAAGCUGCAGUCCACAAGGCCAAGAGCAGCAGAACCCUGCGCCAGCCGAAAGUCCUGCCCUGCUCUUGCAGUGUUCUGAGGGCAAAGGGCAAGAAGAACAUGCUCUUAGCUUACAGGGGAGGAAAGUGACAGAGGAGAGGACAGCAAAGGCUGCACAGAAGUGGAACACAUGGAUUGGAAGAGGCAGUGUUUACAGCUCUUUCAAGAGAAAUUGAUAUGGGUGCAGAAUUGGCAGAAGAAAGAAUGAAAACAGCUCUCUGAAGACCUCACCAGAGCUCAUCUUGCCUGUAAAAGUAGCAUGCCUUUAGACUUGAAAAUCCUUUAAGUUUUAUCUGGUAAAUCAGUAGCUGAUUUUUUACCUGCCACUCAAAGCGCAUGUCCCUGGAUAAUAAGUUAUAAUGAUAAAUUUUGACACCACCACCAUUUACUGAGGACUUAGUCUGUGCAGAUGAAGUACAGAGACAUUAGAAAAAUUCGUGCCUGAGAUCACACAGGCUUACAUGGCAGAGAUGGGACUCAGGGCAGACUCCCAAGAUCACAGUUUUACUACCAUAUAGAGCUUGCCUCUGAGCAGCCAGAAUGCAAGGAAAAGGAGGGGCAUGUGUCAGCUAGAAGCAACGGUGAAAGAAAAGGAGACGCUGGCUUUCACGUGUGGCUGCUGCUUGUUCAGGAUUCUGAUCCUGACUUGUCACAUGAGGUCAGACAUGGAACUUUCCACGUGUGGCUUCACAUCAAUGUUUCAGAUUUUGGAGCAUUCUGGACUUUGAGUUUUUGGAUUAGGGAUGAUCAACCUACGUUAUUAAGCCAUUUUCCAAAUGAGGACACUGAAGCCCUGAGGGAUGCCUGGUUAAUAAGUGCCCUAUUAAACCUGGUGUGCCUAGCUGUUGCUCCACGACCCACCCCUUCAGUGGACCUCAGACGCUUUCAGAGGAGGCCGGUAGAGGAAGGGCAAUGAUGAGAGAAGCAAAAGAUUAAGACCCUACCUAAAAUUGCUUUAGAGGAAAAAAUUGCUUUGGAGGAAAGCAAUCCUGCGACGUGAGAGAUUUCCAAACCACAUAAGGACAUAUCCAGAAUGCAAUUUCAGUGCACUCCAAGGUGCAAAGCACUUGGGAAAAGAAAGCCUGCAGAGUGGGAGUGAAUUCUGUGAGACGUCCUCUGGGCAUUGGGUCCCCAGUGUGAUCUCUAUCCCAGCCAGCAGGAACCUCAGCCUCCCUCUGCCCCCUUCCCCCCCAACUUAGAAAUGCAAAUUGUUUGAUUCCACUCAGAUCUACUGAAUCAAAUCACCACUGGAUAGAAGGAGGUGAUGUCUGAAUUAGAGUUUUUAAACAGAGGAUCCAGUCAUCAAGUAUCAUAAAUGAAUAGCCGGUCUAUUUAACCAAGCUGGAUCCAGAUUCUUAGGAUUAUCCUAAGACUAAGCUGAAAAUGGGGGAUACAAAGACAAAGACCCUCUGCCUUAACGAGGUUAUUUCUGGAAAGGGACCAAUGUGUCUAAGGAAGGAGGCAGAACAAUCCAAAUGCCCAGGUUGAAGGCUCCACCUCUUACCAGUGAUGACGAGGCCUGAGGCCUUUGAUAUCUAAACCCAGAAAGCCUGUACCUUUCUUUCCAUCUAUGUGACUAAUUAGGAGUCUUUCCACCAGCUUCCCUGAAUAGCCUGCCUUCAAUACGCUACUACCUCUCCUGGCUGAGCAAGGCUGGAGGGAAUCCUUAUCCUGGAUGCUGUCCGCUGUGUAGCUCUCCUACCCCCACUCCUGGGGGGCUGACAAGGCAAAAGAAUAGAGAUAUUUUGAAUUCUGGUCUUAAAGGACUAGCAUCUGAUCCAUACUGAGCAGAGAGCAUGGUUUCUAAUAGUGCUAAGCAGGUUGAGGCUCACUCACUUGCCCAAAGGGAAACAAAACAAAACUGAAAACCCAACUACUUACUGGGAGAGUUGGAAAUAAGGCAACAGGCAGAUGCUGCUGCAUCUCUUUUAGAUUAAGAGGCAAAGAUGGCAUUCCCUUGCUUUGGACAGUGCCAGCUACUCGAAAGGGCGGGAGCUAUGAAUUCAGAGGAGCAAGAGGCUGAGAAAGGACUGAGUCUGUGCAGUUCACAAACACAUACACACAUCAGCUAGGGCAAGGCAGCACCAACAGCAAUGAGUGUGGGCUCCUGAAGUGGGGGUUAUAGAGCUUGUGGUUCUAGCAGGAUGAACUAAGUCCUGAAUAUAAGUAACAAGUGUUAAGGGGGCCAAUAAAAUAUGCUGCAGGCAGGAACCAGGGGAAGGUUGAUGACGGCUUGAGCAGGGAGAAAAGACAGAUGAGGGGUACAGGUCUUACAUGAAUUAAUCCUCCAAGAGUAGGAACCAACUAGGUAGAAGUGAUUCGGAGGGGAGAGUUUCAGAAUGGUCAUUGAGGAGGGCAGUAGAGAGAAGAGCAAAGCUUUCAUGUGUGAAAAGAAAGACACCAAAGAUUUCUGAGUAAGUCUUGCCCCUGCAGUGCAGUGGUUAAGUGCUGUGCAUUAGAAGUCUGAUUCCACUUGGUCGACCACUGUUCAAAUACUGUCCCCAAAGUCUUGAAGAACAUUUGGGUGUAUAUGCGUGCCCCAAAUUGUGACGAGAUGGAGAAAUGGAGGAAAAAUAAUUAUGGUGUGAGUCUACCCCACUGGAGAGAGGGGGACUGUCUCUCCCUUUCUCUCUGAUGAGUGUAUAUGCCCUUUAGCAAUUAAAAAAAAAAAAUCCUGAGCUGAAGUAAAAGGCAUAUGGGAGUGUUGACAGAAAAAUGAUUAUGCAACCAUACAUAAGAAAAAAUAGAAGUGGGAGACAGAGAAAGAAAAAGUAGCCUAUUGCCAUGGAAGGUCUAGAAGCAGGCAACAUGGUCAGGCUUUGGAAUAAGAAGGAACUGGGUUCAAAUCCAGACUCUGUCACUUAGUGUUGUUUGAUAUUGAAGAAGUCAUUUACUUUCCCUGAAUCUGCAGGUUCUCUGUUAAAUGAGAUGGGAAAAGUUCCUACCACACAAAAUUUAUUAUAUGAAAUAAUAUAGAAAAGAGCCAGCACACAGAAACCACCUAGUGUUAUCUGUCACCAUCCCAUCAUCAUCACAGUCAUGAUGAGUUAGAGUAUAAUAUUGUAAACAGAGAUGCCAGCAGGUGAUGUGGUAGGUAAGGGCACUGGACUCUCACA